CAGCCGCCGCGGGAAAACGUAGGUGGCAAGCGUUGUCCGGAAUUAUGGGGCGUAAAGGGCUCGCAGGCGGUUUCUUAAGUCUGAUGUGAAAGCCCCCGGCUCAACCGGGGAGGGUCAUUGGAAACUGGGAAACUUGAGUGCAGAAGAGGAGAGUGGAAUUCCACGUGUAGCGGUGAAAUGCGUAGAGAUGUGGAGGAACACCAGUGGCGAAGGCGACUCUCUGGUCUGUAACUGACGCUGAGGAGCGAAAGCGUGGGGAGCGAACAGGAUUAGAUACCCCUGUAGUCCCUGUCUCUUAUAC
rnacentral:rRNA from 1 species